AACGCACAUUGCGCCCCUCGGUAUUCCGUGGGGCAUGCCUGUUCGAGCGUCAUUUAAACCUUCAAGCUCAGCUUGGUAUUGGGUGCUUGUCCCGCCUCUGCGCGGCGACUCACCUCAAAGUCAUUGGCAGCCCGCAUCCGCCGGCCGUGAGCGCAGCACAGUCGCACUCUAGGUAUUUGGCAGGUCGGCUCUCCAGAAGCACUUCUUUUAUUAUUGACCUCGGAUCAGGUAGGGAUACCCGCUGAACUUAA
rnacentral:misc_RNA from 1 species